rnacentral:lncRNA from 1 species
UCUAUAAUAUACAUAAAAGAUUAUAAACUUAGAAACCCUAAUGCAAAACCCUAAUUUCUAUCCAAUGGUUGAUUGACAUCUAUAACCUUAGCAAGCCACAUGUUGAGGAGUAGAAGCUUACACAUGGUCUGCUACAUGGAACACAUGCAUUGGGCCUAGUGGGAUAUAUAUUUCUCUUUUCCCAAUUCUUUUUUUCAUUUGUGAAGUUUUUUUCUCUCUCUUCUCUCUUUUCUCUCUCGUACGAUCUCUCUCUUCUCUCACUAUCUUCAUACUUUCAUCUCUAACCUUUCUCAAUCUCUUUCUCUCUGUCCUCCUCAUCUCAUCUUCACCAUAACAUCCACCGCAACUUCCACCACCACCUAUAAAUCAAUAACUCAUCAGUGUGAGGGAGUGGCCGAGUGAGAGGAGAUUUGUCGGCGGAAGAGAAGUUCCGGCGAGGAGGAGAGAAUUCCGGCCGAGGAGAGAAGUUCGCGGUAACAGGCGGUGCUUGGCGACGGCGGCGACAAAUCUUCUUUCUCAUUCUUUCCUCUGGUUAGAUCUGUUACUUUCUAUGCUCUAUUUAAUUGCUUUUUCUUCUGUUGUUUUUUUUAUGAGAUGGUUACAGAUUGGAGGUGGUGGUGAUGUGUGUUGGUUAUGGUAGAUGGUGACAGUGAUGUUUUUUUCUUCCAAUUUAUAGACUGAUGAAUCUACUGCAAUCUGUAAACCCCAACAUUUAACACUUAUUUUUAGUUCUGUAUUAUGUUUAGUUUUGAUCUUGCAUGUUUGAAAUCCUCCAUGAAACCCCAACAUUUAACACUUAUUUUUAGUUCUGUAUUAUGUUUAGUUUUGAUCUUGCAUGUUUGAAAUCCUCCAUGAAAUUAAUGUUAUUGGGAUUCAUAUAUAAAUGUCAAUUGCUAAUUGGUCAAUGUGAUUUUUGAAGAAGUUUGGGUUAAACCCGUGUUCUAGGACAGGGCUCCACUAAAAAGGUAAAAUCUCACUCCUCCUAACUCCAAUUGAAAUGCCGUUUGUUUCUGUGGUUAGCUAACUCAAUUCCGGUCGUUGUGACACCAAUUUCAUAAUUUUUGGUUAGGAAAUGAAGUCUGGGGACGCUUCUGAAGUUGAGGUACUGGAGCUGUAAAAAUGGUGUUUUGAGGACUACGAGUUUGGGUACUCAAACGGCACAAACAGAUGGUUUUAGGAUUGCGGAAUAACGUCGUACUGCUAUUAAAUCAGGUGGAUUCCAUUAGGUAAACUCUCACUUAAUAGAGUAGAUUUAUUAGCUUUCCCCAAAUUCAUGAUGCAUGUCAACUUAUGAUUUUAGGAUUAAUUAGGAUAACUCUAUAAUUGAACUAAUUGAUGAUUUAAACAAGCCCUGAAGAUGAUUGAAAUGACUGUAUGUUGUGGAAUUUAGGAUAAACCAGAGGGGGUGGAUUUUGAUCUA